GUUUGGUUAAGUUAGAAAGGGCGCACGGUGGAUGCCUUGACACUAGGAGUCGAUGAAGGACGGGACUAACGCCGAUAUGCUUCGGGGAGCUGUAAGUAAGCUUUGAUCCGAAGAUUUCCGAAUGGGGAAACCCACCAUACGUAAUGGUAUGGUAUCCUUAUCUGAAUACAUAGGGUAAGGAAGACAGACCCAGGGAACUGAAACAUCUAAGUACCUGGAGGAAGAGAAAGCAAAUGCGAUUUCCUGAGUAGCGGCGAGCGAAACGGAACAUAGCCCAAACCAAGAGGCUUGCCUCUUGGGGUUGUAGGACAUUCUAUACGGAGUUACAAAGGAACGAGGUAGACGAAGCGACCUGGAAAGGUCCGUCGUAGAGGGUAACAACCCCGUAGUCGAAACUUCGUUCUCUCUUGAAUGUAUCCUGAGUACGGCGGAACACGUGAAAUUCCGUCGGAAUCUGGGAGGACCAUCUCCCAAGGCUAAAUACUCCCUAGUGAUCGAUAGUGAACCAGUACCGUGAGGGAAAGGUGAAAAGCACCCCGGAAGGGGAGUGAAAGAGAUCCUGAAACCGUGUGCCUACAAAUAGUCAGAGCCCGUUAACGGGUGAUGGCGUGCCUUUUGUAGAAUGAACCGGCGAGUUACGAUCCCGUGCGAGGUUAAGCUGAAGAGGCGGAGCCGCAGCGAAAGCGAGUCUGAAUAGGGCGUUUAGUACGUGGUCGUAGACCCGAAACCAGGUGAUCUACCCAUGUCCAGGGUGAAGUUCAGGUAACACUGAAUGGAGGCCCGAACCCACGCACGUUGAAAAGUGCGGGGAUGAGGUGUGGGUAGCGGAGAAAUUCCAAUCGAACCUGGAGAUAGCUGGUUCUCCCCGAAAUAGCUUUAGGGCUAGCCUUAAGUGUAAGAGUCUUGGAGGUAGAGCACUGAUUGGACUAGGGGUCCUCAUCGGAUUACCGAAUUCAGUCAAACUCCGAAUGCCAAUGACUUAUCCUUAGGAGUCAGACUGCGAGUGAUAAGAUCCGUAGUCAAAAGGGAAACAGCCCAGACCGCCAGCUAAGGUCCCAAAGUGUGUAUUAAGUGGAAAAGGAUGUGGAGUUGCUUAGACAACUAGGAUGUUGGCUUAGAAGCAGCCACCAUUUAAAGAGUGCGUAAUAGCUCACUAGUCGAGUGACUCUGCGCCGAAAAUGUACCGGGGCUAAAUACACCACCGAAGCUGCGGAUUGAUACCAAUGGUAUCAGUGGUAGGGGAGCGUUCUAAGGACAGUGAAGUCAGACCGUAAGGACUGGUGGAGUGCUUAGAAGUGAGAAUGCCGGUAUGAGUAGCGAAAGACGGGUGAGAAUCCCGUCCACCGAAUGCCUAAGGUUUCCUGAGGAAGGCUCGUCCGCUCAGGGUUAGUCAGGACCUAAGCCGAGGCCGACAGGCGUAGGCGAUGGACAACAGGUUGAUAUUCCUGUACCACCUCUUUAUCGUUUGAGCAAUGGAGGGACGCAGAAGGAUAGAAGAAGCGUGCGAUUGGUUGUGCACGUCCAAGCAGUUAGGCUGAUAAGUAGGCAAAUCCGCUUAUC
rnacentral:rRNA from 2 species